CGGUCCGACCCGCUCGCCGCCCUACAAAGUCCCAGCAACUUCGGCGCUGGGGACGAGGGCGUCCGGCAGCUCCGGCCCCGGGCUGCAGCAGAUGGCCGAGCGGGAGAGCCCGAUCCUGCACAGCCGUGCCCCGCAGCCCGCUGGGGACAGCUGCGGCUGGCAGCGACCUGGGGAAGGGGAACCGAAAUUUGUCAUCUGAAAUGAGGCUUCGCGUGUCUGGCUGCGGGCAUAGCGCUGAAUACAGCUACGCUGCUGAUAGCGUUCUUAUUCGUGCGGUCUGUGGGCUGGAUGAAUUCUGCUGAUCUGAAUGGUUCUAUCCCUUUAUGGUGUCUGUAGUGCUGACACGGGAAUGCACAAAGGGGAUGGCUUCCUAGUGUUUGACAGAACCAGAAGCUCACUGAAGAGGAUGUGGAAUGAUCAAAAAUAAUGCUCUCCAGGUAUGUUUUUCCACAUCUUCAUAAGAAUAAGACUUUCCCAACUGUCUUGAGUGUGGAUGGUCAACCCAAUCAUCAGGAGCUGAAAAUUGCCACCAGAAGACUAUUUCUGGACUUGAUCAACGGAAUGGUUAAGAUCCUUUCCUAAGAAGGUGGUCCUCUUACUUGCUCAAAGGCUAUAAAAUGUGGAUGUUACUCUUCUAGCAAGCAAAACCUGCCCUUCAUUUCCAUGGAGCUGAACGAACAAAGAUGUGUCCACUUCUGUUUGAAUCAUCUCACCAAACAUUUGAUUCACCAGAUGACCUACCCCACAGAAGAAGCCCACUGUUGUAUCGAAACUCAAAAGCAGAGUAACAGAAAUCAGCAUUUGUUUUCCUGAAAAAAUGUCUUCUGUGCCAGCUCUUCAUUCAGUUUUCUGCAUUCUGUUUUAAAAUGAAAAAUAGUUUGUAAUCAGACGCAAGUAGAAGCUGGUGUUUUUCACUGAUAUUUCCUUCUUAAUUUUAGGAAGGUUAAGUACUUCGCUGUGUCAAAUUGGAAUUCCUAGCAGAUAAAUUGUCUGCAUGUAUUACUGUGUGAGACUGACCUGAUAUAUAUGAAAAGUUGCAGCAGGAAAACCAGAACAUUUUCUGCUCUGACAUGAGGAAGAAACUUAUCAAACAGCUAGGGGCAUCUCAUACAGGUAUUUUCUAGCCCAGGUCCCAGGCUUGACUUUGUAGAUAGAUGUCAACUCACAUAAAGCAGCUAAUGCACAAGAACAAAUACAGAAUUAUCUUGUCUAUACUGUGUAUCCCAGUCUGUGAUCAAAAUGUAUAUUUGCAUGUGUGAACCUCUGUAAGUGCAGGAUAUGAAGAGCUUUCACUUGAAGAAGAAAUUACUCUGCAUCAUUUCAUUUUUAGCAAAGAAAAGGAAGCUUUGAAGGCCUCUGGGGUAACAGGAUAAUGACUAGGUUUGCAUUAAAUCAUUCCCUUCCUCAGGCUUUCUAUGAAUCCUUAGCCUCAAAAGGAACAAGACCACUCUACAGUAGAAGAGAUGGGCAGAACAUCUUUCUUUAUUAUAGAAAUUAACUUCUGAUGGGAUGGAAGAGACCAGAGCUGUAAAGUUGAAGUUCAUCCACCUGGCUUCCUCGACACAAUUUCAGAUUUCCCCACUGCUGAUGGAAUCUUUCUUUUUGAUUCUUUUCAUGACUGAGAACUGAAAGGACCUAUAUGUUUCCAUCAGCUAGAUAGAAAUAGGCCCAAGAGAAUGGAAUGUUAGCCACAUAAGAGGGGUGAGUUGAGAGCAGAAAUACUUAGUACAGUCCUUUUUCUGGCUCUUCUUAUUCCUUCCCAAACUAAGGCACAAUCUGGUGGUUCUUAUGUUUACAAAAGAUUCUUCGUCUAUGUAAUUUGCAAUUAUAUAGGAAGUUUUCUGUCAUUCUAAGAUGGGAGCAUAUAUUGUUUACAUGCUCCCUGCUAUGGGAUUAUCUAUAACAAAUAAGAUUUUUGGCAAAAAACUACCAGAAUUGGGAUAUGUAUUAUAUUCCACCUCAAAUCUGAAACUCUUCUUAGUGCACCUUAUUCCAAGCUUGUGAUUUAGAAAAUGUGACUUGCUAGCUUAAAAUAUGGGAGAUACUAAAAUGGUUGGGGAGGUAUUCUACAUUUCUUGUUUUGUUCUGUUUUUCCUUUUAGAAAUCUGCUGGAGAGAGCCAGACAGCCUGAAAAUAGCUGAAAAAGCAAACAAUUGAAAUCCUUCUUAAAUCUUGGUGAUAGAUGCCAGGGCAGUAUUCUAAUAUCAAAAAUGUGGUGUCAUUUUAUGGGACCGAGUUCCAUAGCAGAGUGAGGACAAGCGUUAUAUUGGUCCUAAUCCUCCAAGUAAUGUCUCUGUUUAGACUUGUUUUGUAACUAGGAUUUAAUGACAGCUUUACCCAUUUUUUGUUUCCAUGAAGUAAACAACAGACAUGUAAGCUUAAGAGUGGUGGGCAGGAUGCUGCAUAUCAAAGUAAUGCCAACUUUAAUGAGCAGAAGUGCUCUAAAAUGGUAAAAUUGUGGUGAGCUGUGUGAUAAAAGUUAACAUUGAGCUUGAUGAGGCCACCGCCAGCUUGGCCUGACUUAGGAUUUCCUUGUUGAAUAUGGUCUGAACUUUCUGGCAUUGGAGGCAACUAGAGAAGCACACUUCAUUUUAGGGCCUCCUUACUUUGAAGUCAAUAGCAUUUAAUGGAGAUGUCUGUAGAAGCAGGAUCCAUCUCUAAGUGAUGGAAAAUACUGUCAAUAUCAUAGGAUUACAGUGGGUGGGAAGUAUGUGUAUAAGAAAUGUCUGAUUUUAGAUCUGGGAAUUUUCUUCUCUUCCUUCCGUGCAUACUUACCCCUCUGAUGUUAGAGAUAGCAGGUGUUUCUUGCAUAGCUUGAUGACAAAAUACUUGGGGGACAAGAAGGUAUUUUUGUUUUCUGUAGACACGUACAAAAAUCGCAGAUUUGCCUGACUAGAGACCUGAUAAUCUAAACUCCUUAACCUCAAUGUUUUGUAACCCAGCAUUGUAACAAAAAAGUAGAAGUACUGUUUUUUUUUCCUUGACUCCUAUUCAUGACAGUGUAGCAACAUUAGUUUUCAAGUUUAAUUUUAGAACAUCAGGAUUUUAUUAGGUUAAGGUUCUGUGGCUUUCACAGAAAUAGUACACCAAUAGUGCAUGCCCAGAAGACCCCCAUUGCUGUAGCUUCCUGGCCAGCACCUUUAAAGAACUGCUGUGUUUGGAAAUGCUGCUUCAUCUGACUCACUUUUUCUUGUUUCACUUUUUCUUUAUGUUGGUUGGAAAUCUUCCCAUGUGAAAGAUUACAAAAACAAGGGGCAUGUGCAAUAGCUCAUAUAUAUAUAUAUACAUAUAUAUAUUUUAAUACUUGUGGACAAAAUGAUGUUACAAGUUGUUUGAAAACAACAAAAUCACCAAUGUCUUCCAUUUUGAGAUGUGUAUAGUUCCAUAAGCAUUAGUGCUUUGUAGCAAACUGUAGUGCCAUGUUAGGAUCAGUGCAUGAGCCUAGUAGUAUUUUUACAAUUUCUGAGUGACAAAUUUAUUAGUAUACAGUGAUGAUUAUGUAAUUAACACUAGAAAGGAUACAAUAGAAAUAUCACAAACAUGGUCUAAACAUGCAGUAUCCUCCCUUUGGCAAUGGCAAUGCUAUCCUUAGAAAUGGAACUCAUUCACUUAAUGGGCUUCAUAGAAUCAUAGUUGACUUUUUGAUAUUUGUCUGUCUGUCCAACUGUAGUAGUAAGCUAGAGUUUGCAAGCAUCCAUAAUUCUCACCUGUACCAGUGCGAUUCUUUUUAAUCUUUGUUGGUGUUUUCUUCCAUUUUCAAUUUUAUUGAACCAUUUAUUACCCAUUCUGUGAUAUACUCAGAGAAGUAUGAAUAUGCUAAGGAGUUUGUGUGCAUUCACUAUGCAUCUCUUACCUUCAGAUCAUUUACAAAUUCUGUUAAGUAAUCUUUUUUUCAGAUCUGAUUAUAUGAUUAUUAUAGCUAGCAAAACGCUAUCCUCAUUGUGUGAUAAGUUAAUAGUUGCAAAAUGUGAUUUGCUAAUUAUGCGUAGAAGACUUUUAUCCAUUAUUGCAGGAAUGGGGAACCUUUUUAGGCUGAAGUCCUAUUGAAUCUUAAAAUAACUUUGGUGGAUCCUGCAUUUACAUACAUCUGAAUAAGACAGAAUAUGAUAAGGUCAAAGGCUGUUGGAAAAUGAUGUUGCAGCCUGUUCUGUGCAGCAGGCUGUCUCUAGCCAAUGGAUCAGAGAUUCCCCACCCCUGUAUUAUUGAGAAUUCGAUAUCUUGUAUUUUAGGUAACUUCCAGUUUUGCUUUCCAGCUCUAAGCUCAAUUUUAAUGAUUUCUGUCUCUCCCUCUGCUUUUUUCAAGAAGGAAAGUUUAGACCAGGGAAGUGAAAUUUAUUUAGCACUCAGUGGGCAGCUUGGAUUGGUCAAAUAGGAGACUAUUAUAAUUCUUGUGAUAUGCAUUGCUCUGUGGAUGACAUCCUCUGGUUUCUUAGGAAUAAGUCUUGUAUUUGAUGCCAGUGCUGCUCUUCACCCAUUUCUCUCUUUUAGCUUAGAGAGGAUACUGCAUCUCUUUUUUCCUGAGACCUGCCUGUAAAUGGCCAUUAGGGGGAGGGAGGGAAUGGGUAGCUUGGUUUUUUAAUUUUGGUACGAUGUAUCUUUAAAGUAAUUAAUCAAGAAGCAUGUACUUCCGUGCAAUGACAGUAAUCCAGGCAGAGUUAAUGUAUGUAACAGGGAAAAAAAAACCCCAACAAAACCAACCAAACAACCCUCUGCAUCUAACAAAUUUCUGAGAAAAUUGGAUAGAUGGGCCAUUUACAGCAGAGCUCUGGGGGACCUGUGCUAAGAGUCAGGCUCAAUUCUAAAUGGAUGUAGCUGUACCAUUGAAUAAAGUAGUUUAGUGCUUGGGAGAAUCAAUUGAAAAAUACCUCUGAAACUGGAAUGCAAAAUAGCACAGUAUGUAGGGGGAAGAAUCCCUGAUGCAAACAAAGCCAUAAGAUGAUUUAAUAAGAAAAUAGAACUUUAGUAGCAAUAACUGUUUUGCAUGUGAUAGUAAAUUACUUGCAUUAGCAAGACUGUACAGUAGAGUAAGUGGGUAAUAACCAAAUAAGUUUGUGGCGCUCUGUGCUGCAGGGAGUUGUGUGAAGAGUCUUCCUGAGAAGAAGGGCGAAUUCUUCUUAUGUUCCUCUCAUUGGAGGGAAUUUGGAACUUGAAUACUGAGUUAAGGAACUUGAUAUAUAUACUAAAAAAAGAAAAAAUUAGCUUUGCCACAUGUCUGAAGCACUGCCAGUGCUGGGGGAAGGGCAGACAGUUCUUUUUGAAAGGAUAGCUGAAGUUUCCCUGUAAUUUUUUUCUUUUUUUGUAGCCUAGCACUUGCUGUAUUUCUCUGAGAAGCUAAACUUUUCCAAAUACUGUACUGUGAAGAGAACCUGAUUCUAAAAUUAGAAACUUACGUGGUGGGAAGUACUUUCUGUUUUCUUCGUUUAUGAAGACUAAUCUGAGAUAGUCUUUAAAUAAAAAAAAAAAAAACAAAACAUUAGUGAGCACUUGACACUCAAAAUAUUUCUACAUGCCAAGCACAACUGUAGAACUCUAAAGAUGUUACAGCAGAAAAUAAUUUCAGCUUUGCUAAAUACUGUUUCACACCGUAAUUGAUUUCACUUGAUGCCUGAAGUUUUGCAGAGGAAAGUACUGUGAAGCCUCUGGUAACACAGAGAGUUAUUGAUCUACACCUGUAGAUCUGCAUCCAGCAAAUUACUUGCUAUCAAAGGGUUGCAUAAAAGAGCCACAGGAGUUGUAAACUGUUCCUAGUUGAUGCUUUUCAGUGUAGAUACCUUGUCUAUAUACACAGUAUGGCCCAACAGAUAGUAAUGUAUUCUGAACAAUUUACUUGAUCAGAGGUUUAGAUCAAUCUGGCUGCAUUUCUUCUGAAAAGCUGAAGUAAUUUAGACUGUGGCUUCCAGCUUAAUGGAAGCUUCUUGUGUUUUUAAAGCAUGGGGGUGAAGCACUUUGGCUUUUCAGAAAUUGAUAAUGGAACUGUGACUGCUGUGAGCAUAUUUACAGUAUAACAGGAUAAGCAUUAGAAUGUCUAAAUUGGCUAAUAUGUAAUAUGCUUAUGAAAAGCUAAUUGAUCUGAAAGACUGUAAUCAGCUUGAAUUCCAGCUGUUGAAUUUUUGAUAAAAUUGGAAGCUGGCCAUAGGGGACCUUCAUUUGAUUGAUCUCUGAUUAUGUUAGAGAACUGAGGAAUUUACUGUGGUCUGUGGUCAGCAAGUACAUUUACAUAAUAAUGAUAUUAUAAUGAAAACAAAGUCACAUUCAUUCUUCAGAAGUAUGA